AUCAUUCCACAAACGAUCAGACCUCUCGACCCGAAGCCACAACCCGGACAAAACUCCUCCGUCCGGCCACCUCUCCACGCCGGACCACCAACACUCUUCUCGUCUCUUCAUCGCCCACGUGCCUGUGGUGAUGGAUCAUCCAUGCACGGUUCGUGAAGGGAGAUUCGAAGCUCAGAAGGUGCGAAGCUCUUCCGGCAAUUUCUGACUUCCGGCGACUCCGGUCACCGUCUGGGUUGUCUGAGAACACUAAUCGGUGCUUGGUCCAGUUAAUCUCACGAUUUGGGCAGUGGAAGAGUAGCCGAGUUUUUUAUUUCUGGUUAGGAUGCUUCUGCUCGGAGUUUGUGUUUGAAAUCGAAGGUAAAUUGAAGUACUGCUUGGCUUUCAUUUGGUACUAAGGUCAGUUGGGUUAUGUUUGGAAAUUUUGAGGAUCAUGAGAGUGUUUGAAAUUCUGGUUGUUCAUGUUGAUGCUUACUGUAAUUCGUGUUAUGAGAUUGAGGAAUUGGACUUGGUUUCAAUCUUGGAUAACUAGUUAUAACAUGCAGAAUUGAGAAAUUGAGUUGAAAACAUCAAAUAAAGCCACUGAUUUUUGAAGUGUUGUAAACAUCACAAGAUGUACAACUAUUACAACAUCACAAGAGUAAAACUAACACCAUGUUCAUC